AAAAAGGAGAAUUUGGGACACAGAGACAGACACACACACAGGAAGAACGCCAUGUGAAGACUGAAGUUAUGCUGCCACAAGACAAUGAACUACCAGAAGCUAGAAGAGAGGUCUAGAACAAAUCCAUUCUAGAACCUUCACAGAGAUUAUGUCCCUGGGGACACCUUGAUCUUGAACUUUUGGCCUCCAGAAUUAUCCACCACAGAGGCAAGACAUGCUAAAUAUAUGCUUUCCCUUGCAACCAGGGUGAGCCAUAUGACAUACUUCUAAAGAAAAGCUAUGAAGAUCAGAGGGGACUGAGAUGAAUUCUAACGUGGAGCCACAGCUUUGGGGAAAUUAACGAUAUCAUUCAAGAAAUGCCAAUAAUUGAGAACUGGCUCUAGAGUUAUUAACGAAGUCGGCGCUUUCUACUUUCAGAAAAUAAGAAGCCGAAAAAUCAAGCAAGCAUCCGACAGGACAGACAGCGGAUUCACUCAGAACACAAUAUGCUGGUGAUAAAUGAAUGCAGCUAUCAAAAUUAGCUGCAUUGGCCUGGGGGUGACAUCCAUUUUAGAAGAUCGUGUUGGGAGAGAGAAAGGAAAAGAACAAUUGAGUAGGGCUCCACACUCAGAUGAAAUCCUGAUGCUCAAAAAUGGAGGUUUUGCUGAAGUUUUUAUUGAAUUUAGCAGAAGCAAUGUCAUCAAGAACAACAUCAUGGUCACGUCAGAGGCCAUGCUAGUGCAAGUAGAAACACUGCUUCUGCAAAAGCUGAAUUUCCCAAAUAAAACACUUAAAACUCCAACCUGACAAUUGCCAUGCAUCCUAGGUAGAAAAU
rnacentral:lncRNA from 1 species